GCCAGACUCCUACGGGAGGCAGCAGUGAGGAAUAUUGGUCAAUGGCCGCAGGGCUGAACCAGCCAAGUCGCGUGAGGGAUGACGGUCCUAUGGGUUGUAAACCUCUUUUGUCGGGGAGCAAAGAGAGUCACGUGUGGCUCAUUGAGAGUACCCGAAGAAAAAGCAUCGGCUAACUCCGUGCCAGCAGCCGCGGUAAUACGUAGGGGGCAAGCGUUAUCCGGAUUUACUGGGUGUAAAGGGAGCGUAGACGGCUGUGCAAGUCUGAAGUGAAAUGCCGGGGCCCAACCCCGGAACUGCUUUGGAAACUGUACAGCUAGAGUGCAGGAGGGGUGAGCGGAAUUCCUAGUGUAGCGGUGAAAUGCGUAGAUAUUAGGAGGAACACCGGUGGCGAAGGCGGCUUACUGGACUGUAACUGACGUUGAGGCUCGAAAGCGUGGGGAGCAAACAGGAUUAGAUACCCCUGUAC
rnacentral:rRNA from 1 species